rnacentral:rRNA from 1 species
GACGAACGCUGGCGGCGCGCCUAACACAUGCAAGUCGAACGAGAGAUGAGGAGCUUGCUCUUCAAAUCGAGUGGCGAACGGGUGAGUAACGCGUGAGGAACCUGCCUCAAAGAGGGGGACAACGGCUGGAAACGGUCGCUAAUACCGCAUGAAGUGUUCGGAUGGCAUCAUCUGAACAUCAAAGNUUUAUCGCUGAAAGAUGGCCUCGCGUCUGAUUAGCUAGUUGGUGAGGUAACGGCCCACCAAGGCGACGAUCAGUAGCCGGACUGAGAGGUUGACCGGCCACAUUGGGACUGAGAUACGGCCCAGACUCCUACGGGAGGCAGCAGUGGGGAAUAUUGGGCAAUGGGCGCAAGCCUGACCCGGCAACGCCGCGUGAAGGAAGAAGGCUUUCGGGUUGUAAACUUCUUUGUCAGGGACGAGUAGAAGACGGUACCUGACGAAUAAGCCACGGCUAACUACGUG